CUGGCUCAGGAUGAACGCUAGCUACAGGCUUAACACAUGCAAGUCGAGGGGCAGCAUGUUGGUUGCUUGCAACCAAUGAUGGCGACCGGCGGCACGGGUGAGUAACGCGUAUCCAACCUUCCCCUUAGUAGAGGAUAGCCCGGCGAAAGUCGGAUUAACACUCUAUGUUCUUCAAUGCGGGCAUCUAAGUUGAAGCAAAGAUUUAUCGCUAAGGGAUGGGGAUGCGUCUGAUUAGGUUGCAGGCGGGGUAACGGCCCACCUGGCCUACGAUCAGUAGGGGUUCUGAGAGGAAGGUCCCCCACACUGGUACUGAGACACGGACCAGACUCCUACGGGAGGCAGCAGUGAGGAAUAUUGGUCAAUGGGCGCGAGCCUGAACCAGCCAAGUAGCGUGCCAGGACGACUGCCCUAUGGGUUGUAAACUGCUUUUAUCAGGGAAUAAAGUGAGGCACGCGUGCCUUUUUGUAUGUACCUGAUGAAUAAGGACCGGCUAAUUCCGUGCCAGCCGCCGC
rnacentral:rRNA from 1 species